AAGGACAACAUCAGGGAAAUUACUUGUACUUACUAAUUGAAAUAAAGAAAUAAUAAAUUAAUGGAAAUGAAAAUGGAUGAAAAACAACUGACCGCAGGUCAAUCCCACGUCUUCGCAUUACGCGUGCGAUGCUCUUACCAUUGAGCUACCGCGGCGCCAUUUUCCCAUCCGUUUUCUGGGGUAUUCAUGUUUUUACUAAUAGAAAUUACUCUCACCCCCGUAUUCUUAAACACGCCUUCACUCAACGCUUCUCCUCGACUCGGCCAAGUCGAGGCGACGAGCGUUCGUUCACUCAAGGCGCCGUUUCAUGAACACUACUUCACAUUUCCUCCGCCUAGGAACGCCUUGAAAAUGCGGCCUUGACUCGAGUGAAGUGCACCAACCGAGAAAAGCAUCUGAUAUCAAGGCUAUACUUAAAUGCGCUUAACAAAAGCCCAAUUAUUUAAGACAGAUAUGUGUUUCCAUUAAUUUGGCUUCGUUAUCAAAUGACAACACGGCGCAAUGCACAAAAGUAACAGCGGCAGCGCUGCCACUGUUAGUGUUGAUAGAUCACGCGGGAGCUGUGUUUGAGGUCUGGCAACAAUCGCACCCCAGCAGCUGAGCAUGGCGCAUGGCUCAGAAACAAGAAAAUUUGUGCCCGCAUUUGUCUGCUGCUCAUUGUUUCCUUGUGCUUAAUUUGUGAUUCACGUUGCAGUUGUUAAUCGUGGUUAUUAUGGAUGAUAUCGUCUGUGUGUGUACUGUGAACCGAGCCGGAUUGACUUCGAAGGAGGCAAGGCAUGGAACGGCCGAUGGGCAGCUUUGUUUAACUUCAAGGCCAAGUGCUGCUGAAAGCUUUCUGAAAGCAGUAAUAGGACAAAAAAUAAGGGUGAGUGAACAGUUUAUGCAUGGAAGCACAUUAAGCUGUUGCGGUUUUCAUGAAGUUUCCGCCGCGCUAUCAAUAAAACCUGUCCGAUGUAUCCAAGCUUGACUGGCUCCAGUUGCUCAUGCUGCGGGCAUUAGCAUCCGAAGCAUACUAUUCAAGGCAGCAUAAGAUUGCGCGAGACAGUUUUUUUUUUUUUUUUUUUUUUUUUUGCAUUGGAGCUUGGGGGAGAUUCGACGAGACAUGCUGUUAUCGGUUCAGCUCUUUAAACAUAAAUGCACAAGGCACCGCUCUGCGCCUGUGUCCGAUGAUCAUUCCAGUAUCGCGUAAGAAAUCUUUCAGUAGAGAAGAAGCAGUUGUAUACAUGUGGCAGAAUGCAUAUGGUUGAGUGCGUAGCACCGGCAGUUUUAAGGAAACAAACGUUUUUCAGUCAUGUACUUUAUUUUAGAAGCCGUGGUGGUUAGUCGGUUUGUUCAAAUUGUAGCACAUAUCAUCAAUGAAGCAGCACUAGUGCCUGCUUUUCCAGUGCUGCUUCACUUCACAUAUACGCUACGCAAUAUUUUAUUCUUCCAAAAAUUCACUUGUCAGUAGAUGAUUACCAGCAUUAGUGUUUUUUCGUCUUAUCUUUUUCAAUGUGCUAUGUCGUAGCAUUUCCUGCACAUUCCAUAAACUGUGCUUUCAAGUUCACUCAACAGCCACAUUUUUUUCAGUUGUGCUAUGUCUUUUCAUUUCAGUUGCUUAGGUGCACUGAACUUAGCGUGUGAACGCCAUACGUACAUAUCAUUUUUGGCAUUCUGCUGCAGGAUGUGGGCCUUGGAAAGACCAGCUAAUGGAAAAAAAUCAACGUCUGUGUUGCAUGCAACACCAUUGUGACAGUCUGCAUCACCAUUUGGCCUGUUGUGGGAUCCCAGAAGACACGCUUUGUUCCUCUGUCAAUUACUGAACUUCUGCAAGCCCUAUGGAAGCCAACUGUAAUCCGCAUCGAAUGGAACAAAUUCAUUGUUCUGGCCUUCAUAAUUCAUCUUAAGCUGAAGUUAGAACCGGAGCUGAAACAGCGUAUAUUCUAUAAGGAUUUACCACGGCAUUCUGUCGGGUGCCCACACCCAACAGUCUACUGUCUAGAACACGGAUGAUGUUUUAUUCUAGAAUAGCUUUGUCAGUAGUACUACUGCUUGUGUUUGUAGGAUCAGAGUCCACGCUCUUUUUUGCAAUUCUAUCAGAACACAAAAAGACGAGGAUAAUUUUAAUUUAUUGUCUCAGAGAUUGACACUUGGAUUGACCAGAAAUAAUUCAGUGAUACAGACUGCUUUAUUAAAUAUGGCUUAAGAAAAGAAACCUGGAUGAAAAAUACAGACUUAAGCUGCAAGGCAGAUGUACGCAAAAUGCCGUUAGUGGUGAUGUUUGAGCUGUUAGGAUGUCAGAAACGAGAUAGAGGUUUCAGCCAAAAUAGUGCGACAAUGACUACAGUGCAGCAGGACACAUUAACUGAAGCUCCACUCUUCUCCACUUGCACACCAAUGCAAGCGCAGCACCCUUGAAAAGGCAGUUGCUCUGCGUGGUUGCGUUGGCAGCCUGGUUCCUGCAUAAGGGAAGGGGUUGGUCAUAAACAUACAAUGAUCUUAAUGCACAUAAAAACUAGCUUAGGUACUGUAUUCGUUUUCUUCAGUUUACUUUUCGUAGUAAAUACAUUCUUAAAGGUUUUCAUUGUGUUCAGGAAGCCGUUUUUUUUUUUUUUUUUUUUUUUUUU